GACGAACGCUGGCGGCGUGCUUAACACAUGCAAGUCGAACGGAAAGGCCUGCUUUCCCUUGUGUCUUGCGGGUACUCGCUUGUCGAACGGGUGAGUAACACGUGAGUUAUCUGCCCCCAACUUGGUUAUAAGCCUGGGAAACUGGGUCUAAUUCCCGAUAGUACUGCAGGGUGGUUCCUGUUGUGGAAAACGAUUUUCUAGUGGUUGGGGAUGAGCUCGCGGCCUAUCAGCUUGUUGGUGGGGUAAUGGCCUACCAAGGCGGCGACGGGUAGCCGGCCUGAGAGGGUGGACGGCCACAUUGGGACUGAGAUAAGGACCAGAAUCCUAAGGGAGGCAGCAGUGGGGAAUAUUGCACAAUGGGCGGAAGCCUGAUGCAGCGACGCCGCGUGGGGGAUGACGGCCUUCGGGUUGUAAACUCCUUUCGACAGCGAGGAAGCCACCUGGUUGGAAGGGUGGUGACGGUAGUGGUAGAAGAAGCACCGGCUAACUACGUG
rnacentral:rRNA from 1 species